UACAGAGGGUGCAAGCGUUAAUCGGAAUUACUGGGCGUAAAGCGCACGUAGGCGGUUUUUUAAGUCAGAUGUGAAAGCCCCGGGCUCAACCUGGGAAUUGCAUUUGAAACUGGGGAACUAGAGUGUGUGAGAGGGGGGUAGAAUUCCAAGUGUAGCGGUGAAAUGCGUAGAGAUUUGGAGGAAUACCAGUGGCGAAGGCGGCCCCCUGGCACAACACUGACGCUCAUGCACGAAAGCGUGGGGAGCAAACAGG
rnacentral:rRNA from 1 species